GUGCCAGCCGCCGCGGUAAUACGAAUCGUCCAAACGUUGUUCGGAUUCACUGGGUUUAAAGGGCGCGUAGGCGGUGCGUUAAGUCGGCGGUGAAAUGCUUCGGCUCAACCGGAGAAUUGCCGCUGAAACUGGCGUGCUAGAGGGAGGUAGAGGUGUGUGGAACUUCCGGUGGAGUGGUGAAAUACGUUGAUAUCGGAAGGAACACCUGUGGCGAAAGCGAUGCACUGGACCUCUUCUGACGCUGAGGCGCGAAAGCUAGGGUAGCGAACGGGAUUAGAUACCCCGGUAGUCCUAGCCUUAAACGAUGGGUACUAGAGAGUAGACGCUCCGAUGCAUUUGCUCUCGAAGCAAAAGUGAUAAGUACCCCACCUGGGGAGUAUGGUCGCAAGGCUGAA
rnacentral:rRNA from 1 species